CCAGACUCCUACGGGAGGCAGCAGUGGGGAAUAUUGGACAAUGGACCGAGAGUCUGAUCCAGCAAUUCUGUGUGCACGAUGAAGUUUUUCGGAAUGUAAAGUGCUUUCAGUUGGGAAGAAAGAAAUGACGGUACCAACAGAAGAAGUGACGGCUAAAUACGUGCCAGCAGCCGCGGUAAUACGUAUGUCACGAGCGUUAUCCGGAUUUAUUGGGCGUAAAGCGCGUCUAGGUGGUUAUGUAAGUCUGAUGUGAAAAUGCAGGGCUCAACUCUGUAUUGCGUUGGAAACUGAAUAACUAGAGUACUGGAGAGGUAAGCGGAACUACAAGUGUAGAGGUGAAAUUCGUAGAUAUUUGUAGGAAUGCCGAUGGGGAAGCCAGCUUACUGGACAGAUACUGACGCUAAAGCGCGAAAGCGUGGGUAGCAAACAGGAUUAGAUACCCUGGUAGUCCACGCUGUAAACGAUGAUUACUAGGUGUUGGGGGUCGAACCUCAGCGCCCAAGCAAACGCGAUAAGUAAUCCGCCUGGGGAGUACGUACGCAAGUAUGAAACUCAAAGGAAUUGACGGGGGCCCGCACAAG
rnacentral:rRNA from 1 species